rnacentral:rRNA from 1 species
AUGAAGUUAUAUCCUGGAAAGUGGGUAAAUGAUCUUACAAGCCCUAUUCAUGAUGUUGAGAGAGAUAGUAUAUGGGAUCUGGUGGUUGUUUAUGGAACAGCCCAAGAGGAGUUCAAGGAUGAUUUGCUUGUUGAAAUGGCAUCCUUUUGCUCUCACAUUGAUAUACCUUAUAUCAUAGGUGGUGACUUUAACAUCUUGAGGGGGUGUGAUGACAAAAAUAAAGUCAUGAGAUUUAAUCCUUAUGUUGACAAGUUCAACUCUGUGAUCAAUACGUUUAGUCUCAGAGAAAUUUACUUGUCUGGGGGCAAAUACACAUGGUCUAAUCAUCAGGCUCAUCCCACUCUAGAGAAGCUGGACAGGGUGCUUAUGAGUCUUUCCUGGGAGGAGUUAUUUCCUCUGGUGUCAGUUCGUAAGCUUGUUCGAGACAUCUCUGAUCAUAAUCCCCUCCUUCUCUCCCUCAAACCUGGCAGCCUUGAACCCCCUAAGAAAAAAGAGUUUCAUUUUGAGAUUAGCUGGUUGAGCAAUGAGUUGUUCUUGCCUAAGGCCAGAGAAAUCUGGGAACAGCCGGUUAACUCGAAGGAUCCUAUAGACAUCCUUAAUAUCAAAUUGAAACAUUGUAAGAAAUAUUUCAAGGGUUGGGGAUCUCAUGUCUUUGGACACGAGAGGAAAAGGAAGAAAGAGAUCCGUAAAGAACUUGAGGAGAUUGAAAAAAUGGAGGAAGAAGGCAUUGUGGAUGCCGAGUCUUGCUGCCAUAGAGCUUCUCUCUUGGCCGAGCUUAAUGUAAUUCUGAUGAACGAAGAGUUAUUCAGACUGCAGCGGUCUAAAGAGUGA